ACGCUGGCGGCAGGCCUAACACAUGCAAGUCGAGCGGAAACGACAACAUUGAAUCUUCGGAUGAUUUGUUGGGCGUCGAGCGGCGGACGGGUGAGUAAUGCCUAGGAAAUUGCCUUGAUGUGGGGGAUAACCAUUGGAAACGAUGGCUAAUACCGCAUAAUGCCUACGGGCCAAAGAGGGGGAUCUUCGGACCUCUCGCGUCAAGAUAUGCCUAGGUGGGAUUAGCUAGUUGGUGAGGUAAUGGCUCACCAAGGCGACGAUCCCUAGCUGGUCUGAGAGGAUGAUCAGCCACACUGGAACUGAGACACGGUCCAGACUCCUACGGGAGGCAGCAGUGGGGAAUAUUGCACAAUGGGCGAAAGCCUGAUGCAGCCAUGCCGCGUGUAUGAAGAAGGCCUUCGGGUUGUAAAGUACUUUCAGUUGUGAGGAAGGGUGUGUAGUUAAUAGCUGCRYMUCUUGACGUUAGCAACAGAAGAAGCACCGGCUAACUCCGUGCCAGCAGCCGCGGUAAUACGGAGGGUGCGAGCGUUAAUCGGAAUUACUGGGCGUAAAGCGCAUGCAGGUGGUUCAUUAAGUCAGAUGUGAAAGCCCGGGGCUCAACCUCGGAACUGCAUUUGAAACUGGUGAACUAGAGUGCUGUAGAGGGGGGUAGAAUUUCAGGUGUAGCGGUGAAAUGCGUAGAGAUCUGAAGGAAUACCAGUGGCGAAGGCGGCCCCCUGGACA
rnacentral:rRNA from 3 species